rnacentral:lncRNA from 1 species
ACCGCACAGUGUGGGAGCCCAGCCUGGAGCAGCCACUGGGGAGAACGGGGUAACUGGAACAGAACUCUAGGGCACAGCUCUGAAAAGGAGAUUUGCUGGUCCCAUCUCCAGUGCAGAUCCUUGGCCUGUGCUGCCCGGUUCAGGGUGGAGGUCUGCUCCCGGCUCUCAGGGCCUCCCUUUCUAUCUGAGUCUCCACCGAGGCGGCUCUGAGAGAACCCAGCUGACUCAGGGACAGUGGAGCAGAGGCUGGAGAGGACAGCGGUGAGCCUGGGCAGCGCCGGGUCGGGACCCCGGCAGCAGAGGCCGCGAAACCGCCCUGGAUUGGGGUUAGCUGGGAUCAGAUUCUGGAUCAAAGCAGGUACGUCUUGCUGCAUCCUCUGGAGAGAAGGAGCCCUGCGUCCUCAGGGAAGGCAGAAGGGCAGGCAAGCCGGAUACUGUGAUGGUGCCUCUUCCAUUCACAAGGGAGGAGCCCUCACAGCCUUGUCAUCACCUCCUAAAGGCCUUGCCUUUUAAUUUGAUCACAUGGGCCAUGAAGUUUCAACACCUGAAUUUUGGCAGAAAUGCAUUCAAACCACAGCAGACCCAUUAUCCUAUUUCUAAGGAACCUGGGAUAAGACAAGUCCAUAGGACAGGCAUGGACAAGCGUCCUGAGCCCUGGGGCCAGGGGAAAUCCAAGGUAACAAGGGAAAUUGGCGAUCCCAGCCAGGUGCAUGGCUAGAGCAGUUCUUUCCUUCGGAAGGGCAGCGAUGGAAAUUUCAGCUCUACUUUUUCCUUUUCCCGAGCUGUGUGAUCUUGAGCAGCUUCCUUGCAGCUCAUCCUUCAUGUCCUAAAACAGAUGAUACAGCAACAUCAGCAAGGUGGCAGACUAAGGAACUUCAGACACUACUUACUACCCCCAGAA